AUUUUCCAGAAACUAGUUCCUCGCUCGUGGCUCGCGUUUCUUCCAAAUCACCUCAAAAGCACGGUGUUUAUGAGCCUACCUAAUCCGAUACUGCAAUGGAAUUCCGGAUAUUUGCAGACAGAUCUCCCGGCUUUGCAAGUGUUUGAUGAGAUACGUUCGGAAUCUCCUUUUUUUUCUAGAGCCCGGUUCCAGGCCGUAGAGCAAGCCGACCUGGGGCUGCGGCCCCUGCCCCACACCCGGCCCGCGCGCCCGGCCCGAGGCCAGCACAGGACGCAGCCCCUCCGGGGCCGGGGCUGGCGGGGGCCGCUCGGGCUGCGGGCCGCUCUGCAACAGGUCACCCUGACCGCGACUCCGCGGGUUCGCGGGCGGCCAACUCUGCGGCCAGGCUUCUGGGCGCAGCCGCCAGGGCCAGGGGAGGGGGUGUGGCCCGGCUUCUGCUGGUCCUGGCUCCGAGGUCCGGGAUCGGGCUCACCUGAAGGAAGACUGAGGCGCCGCUGGGCGCCAGAACAGAGCGGGCGGAGGCUGGGGGCUUCCGCCACCCAAGAGGGAGAGCGAGGCGGGUUCAAGGGGUCGCAGCGCCCCCGGCUUCAGGACGGCGCCCCCGAGCGGGGACCCCACGGCCGCUCCGACUCUGAGAACCCGCGGCCGAGGGAGGCGCGCCGCCCAGCGCCCUUCUCCCUCAGCCUCAGCCCCAGCUCCGCAGCCCCCUCCCUGCGCGCAGGGCGAGCAGCCCCGGGGCCCGCGGCCGGGAGAGCCACACUCCGCAGCGCCGCCGCCGCCAUUCCCCGCGCCGCCCGGGGGGCGCCGCGUACCCACCCUCCCUCCCUCCCUCCCCCGCACCGCCCCGCGGCCUGAGCCCACCGACCUGUGCAGCCGCGGCCGUCGCCUCAGAGGACGGAAAGACGAUGCCGGCCUCACGCUUCACCGCCACGGCCGCCGCCGCCUAGAGUAGCACUCGUCGACCCGAACAGUCACCGUCUCUCAUUCAGCGCCCGCAGCAGCCGCCGCCGCCGCCGCCGCUGCCGCUCGGGGGAGGAGAGUGAGCUGGAACCACCCCGUCCGCGCCAGGGGUGGGGGACGAGAGCGGACCUGGCGGGGGCGCGCGCCAAGCGGGCGGGGCGGAGCCGCGCGCGCGCGCGCACCAACGGAGCGCGCUCGCGGGGGCUCUGAGAGCUGCAGCCGUCAGGGUCUUAACCUCGCGCUUCCCGCCCGCAGCUUUUCGGCCCCGCGGAGCCCAACUGCCGCCGGUGAUCGGUGCCCGCAGCGCGCGCAGCCAUCCGCAACCCCACCGCCCGGCGCCUGCUGAAAGGAGGGGCUCCCACCGGCCAAACAACGGGGGGGGGAAGGGGUAGGAGGAUGGACAGGUGGGGCGUCCGCCACCGCCUGGCCACCCGCUCCCGGAACGCGGCCCUCUGUGAAAUCCGCCGUGAUGUCUGUGGCCUUCAGCGCCGGGCUCUUCACCUUUAAGGCCAGAGAACAAAGUCUGGAAGCACUUGGCCCCAAGAUCAAAUAUCCAGCCCACGCCAGCGGUGUUUUUAGAAGUCACUGAGGACAAAUGAGGGGGCUCCCAAUGUGGAGAGUCACCCCACUGUCUUAGAUAAGGUCAUAAAUUAUGGUGAUCAACAUCCUCACACAUUAAGAUUCGGGAAGUGUUAGAAGUAGGCCUUUGUAAGAUGUUACGCAGGGUACUACCCUUGACUUAAGGAGCAAAUGACAGAAAUUGGGCGGAAAGGUGUUGUUUCAGAGUCUACUAAAUGGGUGGCCUACUUAAAGCUAGCACCAUUUGAUGCAGUGUGACUGUUAACGGAAGGUUUUAAGUGAGCCGCCUUUGUAUCUGCUGUCAUUAGACCAUUUGGAAAUGGAUAAUUAUUUGAUGAUCUGCAGUUCUUUCUCUAGGCAAUGUGCAGUAGAAUGUGGAAAGAAUACUAUGUACCAGCAUUAAGUGUAAAACAUGAAAGGACCAAUAAUUCACUAUUCCCAUUUGGUUUCUUUCUUCCCUUUAAUAACCGCUAAACAGAACUGAUUAAUCUUGAACGUUGAAGAUUGCUAAUUAUUUCCUCCUUUGAUUGCCUUCUGUCAUAGCCCUUUUACUCUAGUUGGGGACGCUAGAAUGCCCUUCAACCUCCUUCUCUCAAAUAGGGUUACUUUAAAGCACCCCAACGCAAAGUUAAGUCAAAAAGAAAAACAGCGAGGAUAGGCAACAAAGUUCGUAGUGUUUCAUUUUUAUUCCAUUUUACUUUCAAAGAAAGUCUUGAAUCAUGACGAAAUCACUAGAAGAAGUAGAGCAAUCAAAAGAAGAAAAAAAGCGUUCCCCCCCACCCAAUAUUUCAAAUGACAAGAGUCCAAAAAAGAAAAGAAAAAGGAAGAUGAUUGGUAAAAAGGAGGGAAGUGCAUUAUGUAUACAGAAAGUUUUCGCAUAGAUGUUAGUUGCUUCAAGUCCCAAAUAAACAACAACUAAAUGAAUUAGCACUUGGAGGAAAAACCCCUUCCAGUUAUUGAGUUGGGUAAAUGUUUAGUCUUCUUAAAGUGUUACUAAGAGAUUAAGGAAAAUGUCGUUGGCUAUAUGCCAACAAUAAUACAUGCAACAUACAUACCAUUAUCACACAUAAUUAACUGCUCUUAAGAAAUAUGAAAACUGAGGAACGGAACUCUUAUGUUGUUAAAUGUCAUACAAUUACUUGAAACUUGAAUUAGGGUUUCAUAGAUAUAAAUGAGGCAGGGUCCCUACAUCUGCCAAUAAUUUUCACAGCUUAUUGUAAAAGCAGUGAAGUUUUCACUUGGACUUUGAAAAGAAAAAAACAUAUGACUCAUGAGCAAGGCCAUGGAUACACUAAAUUCUUAUGCCUACUGAAUUUGAGUUUGAAUAAUUACCCCAAAUCUGUUUCUCACAUUGAUAACUUAUAAAACAAUACUUUUAUUAACCUUAAGAGUUGUGUUAAGUUCAAAUUUGUGAACUUGGUAAGAUUAAGAAUUUGUAUAUAGGCCGGGCGUGGUGGCUCACACUUGUAAUCCCAACACUUUGGGAGGCUGAGGCAGGCAGAUCACCUGAGGUCAGGAGUGCAAGACCAGCCUGACCAACAUGGUGAAGCUGGUCGCUACUAAAAAUACAAAAAAAUUAGCCGGGCGUGGUUGUGGGCACCUGUAAUUCCAGCUACUCAGGAGGCUGAGGCUGGGGAAUCACUUGAACCCAGGAGGCAGUGGUUGCAGUGAGCCAAGAUCGCACCACUGCACUCCAGCCUGGGCGACAGAGGGAGAUACUAUCUCAAAAGAAAAAAA